AAUGCAAGGAAGUAUUCUUUAAUACUCAUGCUAGAUGCGAUCUUGGCCAAAGAAGCCGCUUCAGGAUCUAAUGAUAAUAAGUUUGUGCCUUUAGUGGAGAACUACUUGCAUGAUUUAUGGGUUGACGCUGAAAAACUAAAAGUGACUGAGCUAAACACAUUUCAGUUGGAAUAUCAAAGGCAACGACUAUUUGGUCAACUUGCUCUUGAAAACUUGCAGUUGCAAGGUUAUUGAUAUCCAAAAGUAUUCUUGUAUUCAUGCAUUAGCCGCUUUCAUUGCCUUGGAGAGUGAUAAAACAAGAACUCGAGGUAUUGAUUUACAUGAAUUGGUUUCAAAGUAUUAUUGGGCGGAGUUGUGGGCAUUGGCGUAUUAUAGGAUUAUUUAUUUAGUCCCGGAUAGAUCAGAGUGGGAUAUCCCAGAUGACAUCAAAGCGUUGAUGGUAUUACCUCUGCCUCGGAAAAAGAAGAAGGGUAGAACAAAAGUGCUUAGGUUUUCUUCCACCAGAGAAAGACGUCCAAAACGUCAAAGGACUCAAAACAAAAGGAGGCUGAGGCAGUCGCUGCAAUGGUUUGUAAACUUAUUCGCGUUGUAUAACUGAUGAAAGAAUUAUGCAGUACUGGUAAUACUAGUAUAACAAAUGAAUAAAUA
rnacentral:sRNA from 1 species